rnacentral:rRNA from 1 species
GACAGAGGUGCCAAGCGUUAGGCGGAAUCACUGGGCUUAAAGCGUGUGUAGGCGGAUUUGUAAGUACCUUGUGAAAUCCCAUGGCUCAACCAUGGAACUGCUCGGUAUACUGCGAAUCUUGAGCCACUUAGGGGCGACCGGAACAAAUGGUGGAGCGGUGAAAUGCGUAGAUAUCAUUUGGAACGCCAAUGGUGAAAACAGGUCGCUGGGAGUGUGCUGACGCUGAGACACGAAAGCCAGGGGAGCGAACGGG